CUAUACAUGCAGUCGAGCGGUAAGGCUACUUCGGUAGUACACGAGCGGCGGACGGCUGAGUAAGGCAUAGGAAUCUACCCCGAAGUGAGGGAUAAGCACCAGAAAUGGUGUCUAAUACCGCAUGUGCUCUUAGGAGUAAAGCUACGGCGCUUUGGGAAGAGCCUGUGUAUGAUUAGCUUGUUGGUAAGGUAAAAGCUUACCAAGGCGACGAUCAUUAGCUGGUCUGAGAGGAUGAUCAGCCAGACUGGGACUGAGAACGGCCCAGACUCCUACGGGAGGCAGCAGUAGGGAAUUUUCCACAAUGGGCGAAAGCCUGAUGGAGCAACGCCGCGUGCAGGAUGAAAGCCUUCGGGUCGUAAACUGCUUCUUAUAUGUGAAGAUUAUCGACGG
rnacentral:rRNA from 1 species